UACGUAGGGGGCGAGCGUUGUCCGGAAUUACUGGGCGUAAAGGGCGCGCAGGCGGCCGUGUAAGUCCGCUGUGAAAGACCGGGGCUCAACCCCGGGGUGUCAGCGGGGACUGCACGGCUGGAGUCCCGGAGAGGGAGGCGGAAUACCUGGUGUAGCGGUGGAAUGCGUAGAGAUCAGGUGGAACACCGAUGGCGAAGGCAGCCUCCUGGACGGGUACUGACGCUGAGGCGCGAAAGCGUGGGGAGCGAACGGGG
rnacentral:rRNA from 1 species